AGGACGAACGCUGGCGGCGCGCUUAACACAUGCAAGUCGAGCGAGAAAGGGGAGCAAUCCCUGAGUAAAGCGGCGUACGGGUGAGUAACACGUGGAUCAUCUACCUUGGAGUGGGGAAUAACCCUGGGAAACUAGGGCUAAUACCGCAUAAGCCUGAGAAGGGAAAGCAAGCAAUUGCGCUCAGAGAGGAGUCCGCGGCCGAUUAGCUAGUUGGUGAGGUAAAGGCUCACCAAGGCGACGAUCGGUA
rnacentral:rRNA from 1 species